CAAGAAUGUAUCGGGUUUUGGUUGCAUCAGCUCUCUCCAGUUUGAACCUGCUGAAAAGGUCUCUGCAGUUGGUGGGAGUAGGAUCAUCAUUCAUACUGGUGCCUUGAUAAAGCUGCGGUGGUGUCAUCUAUGAAACACGGAAAUGAAACUCACUCAGAUUCUUGGAGGGUAUGCACAAUAACACAGACCAAAAGAUAGCGAAACAAUCUGAACAACUGACCAACAUAUAAAGUAGAUAUGAAGGCCAAGCUGCGGGCACGGAUUUGCAAUUGGACAUAUUAAUUGAAGGAAAACUGCUAUCUCUUCGAUUUCAACAAUGAAGGUACUCAAUUUCCAAAAGACACUCAAGCUAUUGAAGGUAUCCAAGCUCCUGAAGUUACCCAAGUUUCCAAAGACACUCUGAGCCUCCUGAGAGAAUCUGACGAGCAAUAAGGUAAUUGGUGUAUCCAAGGGAGUUGAGAAGAAACUUCAGUUGGUUGGUGUGUAGUAUCUUGCAAUUGUUGAAGGGAAGGAGUUGAUACUGAAUCUUGGAUUUUCUCAUCCAGUCUACAAUCCCAGAUGAUCUG